rnacentral:pre_miRNA from 1 species
GUAGUAUUCCCUCCGUCCCAAAAUUCUUGUCUUACAUUUGUUUAGAUACGAAUGUAUCUAACACUAAAAUGUAACUAGAUACAUCCGUAUUUAGACAAAUUUAAGACAAGAAUUUUGGGACGGAGGGAGUACAAA